rfam:Pristionchus pacificus strain PS312 contig3050, whole genome shotgun sequence.
UCCUCAUUUCACGAACUCUCUCACCGCUCAGAGAGGCGAGAGAGCACGCGAAAUGAGGAGA